AUUGAACGCUGGCGGCAGGCUUAACACAUGCAAGUCGAGCGGAGAUGAGGUGCUUGCACCUUAUCUUAGCGGCGGACGGGUGAGUAAUGCUUAGGAAUCUGCCUAUUAGAGGGGGACAACAUUCCGAAAGGAAUGCUAAUACCGCAUACGCCCUACGGGGGAAAGCAGGGGAUCUUCGGACCUUGCGCUAAUAGAUGAGCCUAAGUCGGAUUAGCUAGUUGGUGGGGUAAAGGCCUACCAAGGCGACGAUCUGUAGCGGGUCUGAGAGGAUGAUCCGCCACACUGGGACUGGAACACGGCCCAGACUCCUACGGGAGGCAGCAGUGGGGAAUAUUGGACAAUGGGCGGAAGCCUGAUCCAGCCAUGCCGCGUGUGUGAAGAAGGCCUUUUGGUUGUAAAGCACUUUAAGCGAGGAGGAGGCUACCUGGAUUAAUACUCUAGGAUAGUGGACGUUACUCGCAGAAUAAGCACCGGCUAACUCUGUGCCAGCCGCCGCCGUAAAAC
rnacentral:rRNA from 1 species